UAGUAACGGCGAGUGAAGCGGGAUGAGCUCAAGCUUAAAAUCUCUGUCACAAAUUUAUUUUGUGCGGCGAAUUGUAGUCUAUAGAGGCGUGAUCAGUGUAGGUACUUGAGAUAAGUUUCUUGAAAAAGAACAGCAUGGAGGGUGAAACUCCCGUUCAUACUUAAGUGGCUUGCAUGUACGAUCCGUUUUCUUUGAGUCGCGUUGUUUGAGAAUGCAGCGCAAAGUAGGUGGUAAAUUCCAUCUAAAGCUAAAUAUUGGUGCGAGACCGAUAGCGAACAAGUACCGUGAGGGAAAGAUGAAAAGAACUCUGAAAAGAGAGUUAAAGAGUACCUGAAACUGCUGAAAGGGAACCGAAUCGUUUCUAGUGUCUAUAAUCUAUGACAUAUUCCAUUGGGAAGUGUGUGCGUGUGUAUACUAUGGCAGCGACUUUUUUUAAGUUGCGCUUGGUGUGCGUGCUGUAUGUGCUAACUGGUGCCCUGUGUUAUAGUGGGACGUCAAGGUCAGUUUGUAUGCUGCGGGAAAUGGCUACUAGGGAGGUAGGGCUUACGCUUGCGUUUGUCUGUUAUAUCUUGGUAGUUGUGUCGUGGUUGAGACUGAGGUGUUCUACAACGUGCUUAUGAGUGGGUCUGUGUCUCCGUGUGCGCCGUGUGCAGAUAGCUUGCUAUGUGUGUGUGGUGGUGUGUGGAUUGAUGUGGGCUUUAACUUGUCGCCGUUCGGGACUUUGGCGAAAUAGAGCGAUUUGACCCGUCUUGAAACACGGACCAAGGAGUCUAACAUAUGUGCAAGUGUUAGGGUGUGGAAACCCCAGCGCGAAAUGAAAGUAAAGGAUACUGAAAAGUAUCUGAGGUAGGAAAUGUUAUGAACUUCGGUUUAUGGCGUGGCACUAUCGACCGAUCAUGAACCCUCGUGGUGAAAGAUUUGAGUUUGAGCACAUAUGUUGGUACCCGAAAGAUGGUGAACUAUGCCUGAGUAGGGUGAAGC
rnacentral:rRNA from 1 species